rnacentral:rRNA from 1 species
UACAGAGGUCUCGAGCGUUGUUCGGAUUCAUUGGGCGUAAAGGGUGCGUAGGCGGCGCUGUAAGUCGGGUGUGAAAUCCUGAGGCUUAACCUCGGAACUGCAUUCGAUACUGCGGCGCUUGAGGACUGGAGAGGAGACUGGAAUUCAUGGUGUAGCGGUGAAAUGCGUAGAGAUCAUGAAGAAGACCAGUGGCGAAGGCGGGUCUCUGGACAGUGCCUGACACUGAGGCACGAAAGCCAGGGGAGCAAACGGG